UUUUUUUUGUUGCUAUGGAAUCAAUUGUUUAAGUUUAGCAACGACAAAAACUAACUAGUAAAUGAAAUAUGGACGCCGCUUAAGUAGCUCUCAAAUAAAAAAUUGUUAACAUGGCAUAAUACCUCUCAAUAGAUUACAUAUAACUUAUAUUAACAUAAAAAAGUAUAUCAAACUUAAGUAGCUCUCAAUAAAUAGAUGGUGCAUGACAUAAACAUCCCUCUCUCUAAGAGUAUAUGCAACUUCUGUUGAC
rnacentral:sRNA from 1 species